GUGAACGCUGGCGGUAGGCCUAACACAUGCAAGUCGAACGGCAGCACAGUAAGAGCUUGCUCUUACGGGUGGCGAGUGGCGGACGGGUGAGGAAUACAUCGGAAUCUACUUUUUCGUGGGGGAUAACGUAGGGAAACUUACGCUAAUACCGCAUACGACCUACGGGUGAAAGCAUGGGAUCUUCGGACCUUGCGCGAUUGAAUGAGCCGAUGUCGGAUUAGCUGGUUGGCGGGGUAAAGGCCCACCAAGGCGACCAUCCGUAGCUGGGCUGAGAGGAUGAUCAGCAACACUGGAACUGAGACACGGUCCAGACUCCUACGGGAGGCAGCAGUGGGGAAUAUGGGACAAUGGGCGCAAGCCUGAUCCAGCCAUACCGCGUGGGUGAAGAAGGCCUUCGGGUUGUAAAGCCCUUUUGUUGGGAAAGAAAAGCAGCAGGUUAAUACCCCGCUGUUCUGACGGUACCAAAAGAAUAAGCACCGGCUAACUUCGUG
rnacentral:rRNA from 1 species